rnacentral:rRNA from 1 species
AACGAACGCUGGCGGCAUGCCUAACACAUGCAAGCCGAAUGAACCCUUCGGGGUUAGUGGCGCACGGGUGCGUAACGCGUGGGAAUCUGCCCUUUGCUUCGGAAUAACAGUUAGAAAUGACUGCUAAUACCGGAUGAUGUCUUCGGACCAAAGAUUUAUCGGCAAGGGAUGAGCCCGCGUAGGAUUAGGUAGUUGGUGGGGUAAAGGCCUACCAAGCCGACGAUCCUUAGCUGGCCUGAGAGGAUGAUCAGCCACACUGGGACUGAGACACGGCCCAGACUCCUACGGGAGGCAGCAGUGGGGAAUAUUGGACAAUGGGCGCAAGCCUGAUCCAGCAAUGCCGCGUGAGUGAUGAAGGCCUUCGGGUCGUAAAGCUCUUUUACCAGGGAUGAUAAUGACAGUACCUGGAGAAUAAGCUCCGGCUAACUCCGUGCCAGCAGCCGCAGUAACAC